rnacentral:rRNA from 1 species
GACGAGGGAUCCUAGCGUUGUUCGGAAUCAUUGGGCGUAAAGCGGGUGUAGGUGGCUUGGUAAGUCAGGUGUGAAAGCCCAGGGCUCAACCCUGGAAGUGCAUUUGAAACUGCCGAGCUUGAGUGUGGGAGAGGAUAGUGGAAUUCCUGGUGUAGUGGUGAAAUACGUAGAUAUCAGGAGGAACACCGGUGGCGAAGGCGGCUAUCUGGCCCAACACUGACACUCAGACCCGAAAGCGUGGGGAUCAAAC